UACGUAGGGGGCGAGCGUUAUCCGGAAUUACUGGGCGUAAAGCGCACGCAGGCGGUUCGCCAAGUUUGGAGUGACAGUUGUCGGCUCAACCGACAAAGGACUUCAAAAACUGGUGAACUUGAGGACGAGAGAGGAACAUGGAACUCCAGGUGUAGUAGUGAAAUGCGUAGAUAUCUGGAAGAACACCAAUGGCGAAGGCAAUGUUCUGGCUCGUUUCUGACGCUCAGGUGCGAAAGCCAGGGAAGCGAACGGG
rnacentral:rRNA from 1 species